rnacentral:rRNA from 1 species
AUCGUACGGGAGGCAGCAGUGGGGAAUAUUGCGCAAUGGGGGCAACCCUGACGCAGCCAUGCCGCGUGAGUGAAGAAGGUUUUCGGAUCGUAAAGCUCUGUUGUUAAGGAAGAACGAUUGUGAGAAUGGAAAGUUCAUACUGUGACGGUACUUAACCAGAAAGGGACGGCUAACUACGUGCCAGCAGCCGCGGUAAUCGA